rnacentral:lncRNA from 1 species
UCUUACAUUGACAGCUUGAGGCACAGGACUAAUUUCUACUGCAUUUGGCAACAUGAGUAUGAAUCACUUGAUCCACCAAGACUUGAACGAGCUGUGGAGGACAAGUAGUUGGUACCUGACAAAGGCCACUGUGAUGGGCAUUACUUGCACCGGGUACCACCUGGAAAACUCGCAGUUGUGCCCCGAAUGAUUGUGCACCGUCCUCUAAUCACUCGAACGUGAUGCCACACUUACAACUACUGUGGGACUAGGUGGUUUCAAUAUCAUACUUGUGAGGCUGACUUUCAUGAACUAUAGUGUCACGCCAUUUUUCUGUAUCAAACCAUGUAUAAUAAAAGUAUGAAAAAUCCA